GACGAACGCUGGCGGCGUGCUUAACACAUGCCAGUCGAACGGAAAGGCCCUGCUUUUGUGGGGUGCUCGAGUGGCGAACGGGUGAGUAACACGUGAGUAACCUGCCCUUGACUUUGGGAUAACUUCAGGAAACUGGGGCUAAUACCGGAUAGGAGCUCCUGCUGCAUGGUGGGGGUUGGAAAGUUUCGGCGGUUGGGGAUGGACUCGCGGCUUAUCAGCUUGUUGGUGAGGUAGUGGCUUACCAAGGCUUUGACGGGUAGCCGGCCUGAGAGAGUGACCGGCCACAUUGGGACUGAGAUACGGCCCAGACUCCUACGGGAGGCAGCAGUGGGGAAUAUUGCACAAUGGGCGGAAGCCUGAUGCAGCAACGCCGCGUGCGGGAUGACGGCCUUCGGGGGGUAAACCGCUUUCGCCUGUGACGAAGCGUGAGUGACGGUAAUGGGUAAAGAAGCACCGGCUAACUACGUG
rnacentral:rRNA from 1 species